CCGACGGUGAGAGACGAAAGCUGGGGGAGCAAACCGGAUUAGAUACCCGGGUAGUCCCAGCUGUAAACGAUGCGCGUUAGGUGUAUCAGUGACCACGAGUCACUGAGGUGCCGAAGAGAAAUCGUGAAACGUGCCGCCUGGGAAGUACGGUCGCAAGGCUGAAACUUAAAGGAAUUGGCGGGGGAGCACCACAACAGGUGGAGCCCGCGGUUUAAUCGGACUCAACGCCGGAAAUCUCACCAGAUAAGACAGCUGAAUGAUAGUCGGGCUGAAGACUCUACUUGACUAGCUGAGAGGAGGUGCAUGGCUGUCGUCAGUUCGUACUGUGAAGCAUCCUGUUAAGUCAGGCAACGAGCGAGACCCACGCCAACAGUUGCU
rnacentral:rRNA from 1 species